rnacentral:rRNA from 1 species
CCUACGGGGGGCAGCAGUGGGGAAUAUUGGACAAUGGGCGAAAGCCUGAUCCAGCCAUGCCGCGUGUGUGAAGAAGGCCUUCGGGUUGUAAAGCACUUUCAGUGGGGAAGAAAGCCUUGGGGCUAAUACCCUCGAGGAAGGACAUCACCAACAGAAGAAGCACCGGCUAACUCCGUGCCAGCAGCCGCGGUAAUACGGAGGGUGCGAGCGUUAAUCGGAAUUACUGGGCGUAAAGCGCGCGUAGGCGGUCUGAUAAGCCGGUUGUGAAAGCCCCGGGCUCAACCUGGGAACGGCAUCCGGAACUGGCAGGCUAGAGUGCAGGAGAGGAAGGUAGAAUUCCCGGUGUAGCGGUGAAAUGCGUAGAGAUCGGGAGGAAUACCAGUGGCGAAGGCGGCCUUCUGGACUGACACUGACGCUGAGGUGCGAAAGCGUGGGUAGCAAACAGGAUUAGAUACCCUAGUAGUC